CGCGGCCUAUCAGCUUGUUGGUGGGGUAAUGGCCUACCAAGGCGACGACGGGUAGCCGGCCUGAGAGGGCGACCGGCCACACUGGGACUGAGACACGGCCCAGACUCCUACGGGAGGCAGCAGUGGGGAAUAUUGCACAAUGGGCGAAAGCCUGAUGCAGCGACGCCGCGUGAGGGAUGACGGCCUUCGGGUUGUAAACCUCUUUCAGCAGGGAAGAAGCUUUUGUGACGGUACCUGCAGAAGAAGCACCGGCUAACUACGUGCCAGCAGCCGCGGUAAUACGUAGGGUGCGAGCGUUGUCCGGAAUUAUUGGGCGUAAAGAGCUUGUAGGCGGUUUGUCGCGUCUGCUGUGAAAAUUCAGGGCUUAACCCUGGACGUGCAGUGGGUACGGGCAGACUAGAGUAUGGUAGGGGAGACUGGAAUUCCUGGUGUAGCGGUGGAAUGCGCAGAUAUCAGGAGGAACACCGAUGGCGAAGGCAGGUCUCUGGGCCAUUACUGACGCUGAGAAGCGAAAGCAUGGGGAGCGAACAGGAUUAGAUACCCUGGUAGUCCAUGCCGUAAACGUUGGGCGCUAGGCGUGGGUCUCAUUCCACGAGAUCCGUGUCGCAGCUAACGCAUUAAGUGCCCCGCCUGGGGAGUACGG
rnacentral:rRNA from 1 species